UACGUAGGGGGCAAGCGUUGUCCGGAUUUAUUGGGCGUAAAGAGCGUGUAGGCGGCCUGAAAGGUCAGCUGUGAAAACUCGAGGCUCAACCUCGAGACGUCGGUUGAAACCAUCUGGCUAGAGUCCGGAAGAGGAGAGUGGAAUUCCCGGUGUAGCGGUGAAAUGCGCAGAUAUCGGGAAGAACACCCGUGGCGAAGGCGGUUCUCUGGGACGGUACUGACGCUGAGACGCGAAAGCGUGGGGAGCGAAACAGG
rnacentral:rRNA from 1 species